ACAUGCAGUCGAGGGGCAGCAUGAACUUAGCUUGCUAAGUUUGAUGGCGACCGGCGCACGGGUGAGUAACACGUAUCCAACCUGCCGAUGACUCGGGGAUAGCCUUUCGAAAGAAAGAUUAAUACCCGAUGGCAUAGUUCUUCCGCAUGGUAGAACUAUUAAAGAAUUUCGGUCAUCGAUGGGGAUGCGUUCCAUUAGGUUGUUGGCGGGGUAACGGCCCACCAAGCCUUCGAUGGAUAGGGGUUCUGAGAGGAAGGUCCCCCACAUUGGAACUGAGACACGGUCCAAACUCCUACGGGAGGCAGCAGUGAGGAAUAUUGGUCAAUGGACGAGAGUCUGAACCAGCCAAGUAGCGUGAAGGAUGACUGCCCUAUGGGUUGUAAACUUCUUUUAUACGGGAAUAAAGUGAGGCACGUGUGCCUUUUUGUAUGUACCGUAUGAAUAAGGAUCGGCUAACUCCGUGCCAGCAGCCGCGGUAAUACGGAGGAUCCGAGCGUUAUCCGGAUUUAUUGGGUUUAAAGGGAGCGUAGGCGGACGCUUAAGUCAGUUGUGAAAGUUUGCGGCUCAACCGUAAAAUUGCAGUUGAUACUGGGUGUCUUGAGUACAGUAGAGGCAGGCGGAAUUCGUGGUGUAGCGGUGAAAUGCUUAGAUAUCACGAAGAACUCCGAUUGCGAAGGCAGCCUGCUGGACCGUAACUGACGCUGAUGCUCGAAAGUGUGGGUAUCAAACAGGAUUAGAUACCCUGGUAGUCCACACAGUAAACGAUGAAUACUCGCUGUUUGCGAUAUACAGUAAGCGGCCAAGCGAAAGCGUUAAGUAUUCCACCUGGGGAGUACGCCGGCAACGGUGAAACUCAAAGGAAUUGACGGGGGCCCGCACAAGCGGAGGAACAUGUGGUUUAAUUUC
rnacentral:rRNA from 1 species